AAAUUGAAGAGUUUGAUCAUGGCUCAGAUUGAACGCUGGCGGCAGGCCUAACACAUGCAAGUCGAACGGUAGCACAGAGAGCUUGCUCUCGGGUGACGAGUGGCGGACGGGUGAGUAAUGUCUGGGAAACUGCCCGAUGGAGGGGGAUAACUACUGGAAACGGUAGCUAAUACCGCAUAACGUCGCAAGACCAAAGUGGGGGACCUUCGGGCCUCACACCAUCGGAUGUGCCCAGAUGGGAUUAGCUAGUAGGUGGGGUAACGGCUCACCUAGGCGACGAUCCCUAGCUGGUCUGAGAGGAUGACCAGCCACACUGGAACUGAGACACGGUCCAGACUCCUACGGGAGGCAGCAGUGGGGAAUAUUGCACAAUGGGCGCAAGCCUGAUGCAGCCAUGCCGCGUGUAUGAAGAAGGCCUUCGGGUUGUAAAGUACUUUCAGCGAGGAGGAAGGCGUUGUGGUUAAUAACCACAGCGAUUGACGUUACUCGCAGAAGAAGCACCGGCUAACUCCGUGCCAGCAGCCGCGGUAAUACGGAGGGUGCAAGCGUUAAUCGGA
rnacentral:rRNA from 1 species